UACGAAGGGGGCUAGCGUUGCUCGGAAUCACUGGGCGUAAAGGGUGCGUAGGCGGGUCUUUAAGUCAGGGGUAAAAUCCUGGAGCUCAACUCCAGAACUGCCUUUGAUACUGAGGAUCUUGAGUUCGGGAGAGGUGAGUGGAACUGCGAGUGUAGAGGUGAAAUUCGUAGAUAUUCGGAAGAACACCAGUGGCGAAGGCGGCUCACUGGACCGUUGUUGACGCUGAGGUGCGAAAGCGUGGGGAGCAAACAGG
rnacentral:rRNA from 1 species